UACGUAGGGCGCAAGCGUUGUCCGGAAUUAUUGGGCGUAAAGAGCUCGUAGGCGGCUUGUCACGUCGGAUGUGAAAGCCCGAGGCUUAACCUCGGGUCUGCAUUCGAUACGGGCUAGCUAGAGUGUGGUAGGGGAGAUCGGAAUUCCUGGUGUAGCGGUGAAAUGCGUAGAUAUCGAGAGGAACACCUGCGGCGAAGGCGGGUUGCUGGGCCGACACUGACGCUGAGGCGCGAAAGCCAGGGGAGCGAACGGG
rnacentral:rRNA from 1 species